rnacentral:misc_RNA from 1 species
UACGUAGGUGGCAAGCGUUGUCCGGAAUUAUUGGGCGUAAAGCGCGCGCAGGCGGUCCCUUAAGUCUGAUGUGAAAGCCCACGGCUUAACCGUGGAGGGUCAUUGGAAACUGGAGGACUUGAGUACAGAAGAGGAGAAUGGAAUUCUCGGUGUAGCGGUGAAAUGCGUAGAGAUGUGGAGGAACACCAGUGGCGAAGGCGACUCUCUGGUCUGUAACUGACGCUGAGGCGCGAAAGCGUGGGGAGCGAACAGG